UGUGACUCAUCAGAAAAUCUUUUCAUCUAUAUUCAGAGCCAGCAGUGGGCCUUAUGAUAACAGGCACUCCACAAAUAUUUGUUGAAUUGAAGAGGACUACAUUUUUAUGAUUUUUUUAAUUCUCAUUUUUAUAGUGGAUUUAUAGUGUGAGCAAGAAAUAAACCACUGUUAAUGGCUUCCCAGCUGGUGCAGUGGUAAAGAAUCCACCGUCAGUGCAGGAGAUGCAGAGACGCAAGAGACACGGGUUCCAUCUCUGGGUCAGGAAGUCGCCUGGAGUCGGAAAUGGCAACCUACUCCAGCAUUUUUGCCUGGAAAAUUCCAAGAACAGAGGAGCCUUGUGGGCUGCAGUCUGUGGGGUCACAAAGAGCUGGUUGCACACACACACCUGCACAUAAAGCCAUGACCUGGUUAACUUCGCAUUAAAAUUAAGCAACGCAACAAAAUGAUGAUAGUUUCAACUUUGAGAAAACAGUGAGUUUUUGUCCUUUUUUCUACUUUUCUUAAUUUUCUAAUUGUUUUUC
ensembl:lncRNA